ensembl:miRNA eca-mir-9149 eca-mir-9149
UCCCCCGAUGGGCAAGGCGUUUCUCCUGGCUCUUAAGGAUCAUGGACAGUGCCCUGUGCUAGGAGCUAAGAGGCGAGUGUUCUGGUUCUUACUGGUGAUCAUUGGAUGUCAUUGUCCCUUGGCUU